ACUUGUGCUCUUCCAUCUGGUCUAUUAGUUCGGGUUAAUCGUAUGACCGCGGUGGCUGGCACGAAAUUUACCAACACUUGUUUAAUAUGGCUUAGUCAAACUUUCAUU